rnacentral:rRNA from 1 species
AUUGAACGCUGGCGGCAUGCUUUACACAUGCAAGUCGAACGGUAGGGUAGCAAUACCUGAGAGUGGCGAACGGUGAGUAAUGCAUCGGAACAUGCCUAUUAGUGGGGGAUAGCCCGGCGAAAGCCGGAUUAAUACCGCAUACGAUCUAAGGAUGAAAGCAGGGGACCGCAAGGCCUUGCGCUAAUGGAGUGGCCGAUGUCAGAUUAGCUAGUUGGUGGGGUAAAGGCUCACCAAUGCGACGACCUGUAGCUGGUUUGAGAGAACGACCAGCCACACUGGGACUGAGACACGGCCCAGACUCCUACGGGAGGCAGCAGUGGGGAAUUUUGGACAAUGGGCGCAAGCCUGAUCCAGCAAUGCCGCGUGCAGGAUGAAGGCCUUCGGUUGUAAACUGCUUUGUACGGAAUGAAACGGCCUUGGCUAAUACCUGGGCUAAUGACGGUACCGUAAGAAUAAGCACCGGCUAACUACGUAGCCAGCAGCCGCGGUAAU